ensembl:misc_RNA
UUGACAGCCCUGGAGACUGAAGUACCCUGUUCAUCAACAGAACAAAUACAGCACAGGCAGCAGCAGUCCAAACUUCUCUACACUCCCCUGCACCAGCAUCCAUCGACCCUGUUCUAGAGUGAACACUUCUCGGGGCAAGAGGAUAAUCCAGCAAUACAAUAUCUGGCUCCGGCUGAG